GGGAAACCCUGACCGAGCAACGCCGCGUGAAUGAUGACGGCCUUCGGGUUGUAAAAUUCUGUGGCGAGGAACGAAUGGCAAGGAGAGGAAAUGCUCUUUGUUUGACGGUACCUCGCUAGAAAGCCACGGCUAACUACGUGCCAGCAGCCGCGGUAAUACGUAGGUGGCAAGCGUUAUCCGGAAUUAUUGGGCGUAAAGAGUGAGCAGGCGGUUUUUUAAGUCUGAAGUCAAAUCCUGUGGCUCAACCACAGUUCGCUUUGGAAACUGAAGAACUAGAGUGCGGGAGAGGUAAGCGGAAUUCCAUAUGUAGCGGUGAAAUGCACAGAUAUAUGGAGGAACACCGGUGGCGAAGGCGGCUUACCAGCCCGAUACUGACGCUCAGUCACGAAAGCGUGGGGAGCAAAUAGGCUUAGAUACCCUAGUAGUCCACGCCGUAAACGUUGAGGACCUGAUGCCGGAGUAUUUCGGUGUCGUAGCUAACGCGUUAAGUCCUCCGCCUGGGUACUACGUUCGCAAGAAUAAAACUUAAAGGAAUUGACGGGGGCCCGCACAAGCAGUGGAGCAUGUGGUUUAAUUCGUCGCUACGCGAAAAACCUUACCAGGGUUUGACAUCCCGCUAAAAGUCUUGGAAACAAGAUCAUAGUUAUAGCGGUGAAAGGUGGUGCAUGGUUGUCGUCAGCUCGUGUCGUGAGAUGUUGGGUUAAGUCCCCUAACGAGCGCAACCCUUGUCUCUAUUUGCCAUCAUUAAGUUGGGAACUAUAGAGAGACUGCCGGUGCAAACCGGAGGAAGAUGGGGAUGACGUCAAAUCAUCAUGCCCCUUAUGCCCUGGGCCACACACGUGCUACAAUGGCCGGUACAGAGAGAAGCAAUCCCGUGAGGAGGAGCAAAUCUCACAAAGCCGGUCUCAGUUCGGAUUGGAGUCUGCAACUCGACUCCAUGAAGCUGGAAUUGCUAGUAAUCGCAGAUCAGCAUUGCUGCGGUGAAUACGUUCCCGGGCCUUGUACACACUGCCCGUCACACCAUGAGAGUCGGCAAUACUCGAAGUCGUUAUCUUAACCCGCAAGGGAGGGAGGCGCCUAAGGUAGGGCUGAUGAUUGGGGUUAAGUCGUAACAAGGUAUCCCUACGGGAACGUGGGGAUG
rnacentral:rRNA from 1 species